rnacentral:rRNA from 1 species
UACGGAGGGUGCAAACGUUGUUCGGAAUUACUGGGCGUAAAGCGCACGUAGGCGGCUUUGUAAGUAAGAGGUGAAAGCCUGGUGCUCAACACCAGAACUGCCUUUUAGACUGCAUCGCUUGAACACGGGAGAGGUGAGUGGAAUUCCGAGUGUAGAGGUGAAAUUCGUAGAUAUUCGGAAGAACACCAGUGGCGAAGGCGGCUCACUGGACCGUUGUUGACGCUGAGGUGCGAAAGCGUGGGGAGCAAACAGGG